GGAAGUAAAAGUCGAACAAGGUUUCCGUAGGUGAACCUGCGGAAGGAUCAUUAAAGUUAUAGUCCCCCGGCCCUCUGGGCUGGGGUCUUCUAUACCACCCUUUGUUUAUUACACCUUUGUUGCUUUGGCAGGCCUGCCCUCGGGCUGCUGGCUCCGGCCGGCUCGCGUCUGCCAGAGGACCUAAACUCUGUUUGUAUAUGAAGUCUGAGUACUAUAUAAUAGUUAAAACUUUCAACAACGGAUCUCUUGGUUCUG
rnacentral:misc_RNA from 1 species